rnacentral:rRNA from 1 species
GGCUCAGGACGAACGCUGGCGGCGUGCUUAACACAUGCAAGUCGAGCGGAAAGGCCCUUUCGGGGGUACUCGAGCGGCGAACGGGUGAGUAACACGUGAGUAAUCUGCCCUUGGCUUUGGGAUAACUACCGGAAACGGUGGCUAAUACCGGAUAUGACCAUGCUCGGCAUCGGGUGUGGUGGAAAGUUUUUUCGGCCAGGGAUGUGCUCGCGGCCUAUCAGCUUGUUGGUGGGGUAAUGGCCUACCAAGGCUUCGACGGGUAGCCGGCCUGAGAGGGUGACCGGCCACACUGGGACUGUGACACGGCCCAGACUCCUACGGGAGGCAGCAGUGGGGAAUAUUGGACAAUGGGCGGAAGCCUGAUCCAGCAACGCCGCGUGAGGGAUGACGGCCUUCGGGUUGUAAACCUCUUUCAGUACCGACGAAGCGCCGAUGAUGGUGGUGACGGUAGGUACAGAAGAAGCACCGGCCAACUACGUG